rnacentral:rRNA from 1 species
GAAUUUUCCCCAAUGGGCGCCAGCCUGAGGGAGCAACGCCGCGUGGGGGAGGACGCGUUUCGGCGUGUAAACCCCUUUUCCGAGGGACGAAGCAAGUGACGGUACCUCGGGAAGAAGGCCCGGCUAACUACGUGCCAGCAGCCGCGGUAAUACGUAGGGGCCAAGCGUUGUCCGGAGUUACUGGGCGUAAAGGGCGCGCAGGCGGUUGGUUACGGCGUGUGUGAAAGCCCCCGGCUCAACCGGGGAGGGUCGCGCGAAACGGGCCGACUGGAGGCAAGGCGAGGGCGGUGGAAUUCCCGGUGUAGUGGUGAAAUGCGUAGAGAUCGGGAGGAACACCAGAGGCGAAGGCGGCCGCCUGGACUUGACCUGACGCUGAGGCGCGAAGGCGUGGGGAGCGAACGG